UUUCAAUUGCGGCUAAUUUAUAGGUUUAAUGUAUUAUGCAAAUAGAGAUUGCUAAAUAUGUUAUUAAUUGUACUAGCUUCCCUAUGAACUCUACAACUCGUAUCAAACUUUUCCAUUAUUAUUUAUUAUGUCUUGAACCUGACUUGCUAAAAAAAUGGCCAAUGUCCAGCGGUUGCUGCUACUUUUGUUUCAUGUAAAAGACUUUUAGUAAAGCUCAAGAAUCUUUAUCCAAUACCUGAUCAAAACAUUCUUUGAAAGUGCAGUUUUAUUUCAUCCAGAUGUACAGAGCAGCAGGUACAGCCGUUGGUAUUGAUAUGAUCAGUCUCUCACCACAGAAGAAACCAACAUAAAACAGUCCAGCCAUCCAGUAUUUUGGCACGGCUCUCCCUUUGAGACCAGCAAAAACGAUGGAAAGAUUCCAUGGCGGGUGUGAAAUCACAUGACUGAAACUUGAUAAUCCUUUCCUCGGGCUGGCUGAACUCAUUGAGCUAGACAACAUCAACAUGCUUCCCACCCUCCUCACCACCGUGCUUUUUACAAUGGGAUCAGAUGCUGUCCCUUAUGCCAUCCUAUCUCCACCAUUUCACCUGAACACUGAUCUCAGAGGCUUGACCAUCCUGGUGUGUGUGGUUCACGACAUUCAUCAAGGAGAGCUGGAGGUCUCCUGGAUUUCGAGUGGCACCAGAGGAACUAUUCCAGCAGUUCCUAACUUACUCCAAGGACACAGUGGCAUUCAGAGCACAAUGUCUGUUAUAUCUGUGCCCUCGAGUGAAUGGAUGUCCUACACCUGCUUUGUGAGUCACAGAGGCUCCGAUCAACUCAUACACAGACAUUAUGCUGGACUCCCAAUGGAGACAACCGAAAUGGCUGAUGAUGAAGAAACGUUUGAUAUGUGUUUGGACAAUCAAAGCAGUUUUUUGGAAGAUGUUCGAGCAAACAACGAUCUAUUAUUUGUUCAAGCUCUCAGAAUUAUCCUUCUCAAAAUCACCAUUUUCAACGUUCUGAUGACAGUGCAAGCCGUUAUAAAGUGGUAA
rnacentral:lncRNA from 1 species